rnacentral:rRNA from 1 species
GAUAAACGCUGGCGGCGUGCCUAAUACAUGCAAGUCGAGCGAACGGACGAGAAGCUUGCUUCUCUGAUGUUAGCGGCGGACGGGUGAGUAGCACGUGGAUAACCUACCUAUAACACUGGGAUAACUUCGGGAAACCGGAGCUAAUACCGGAUAAUAUUUUGAACCGCAUGGUUCAAAAGUGAAAGACGGUCUUGCUGUCACUUAUAGAUGGAUCCGCGCUGCAUUAGCUAGUUGGUAAGGUAACGGCUUACCAAGGCAACGAUGCAUAGCCGACCUGAGAGGGUGAUCGGCCACACUGGAACUGAGACACGGUCCAGACUCCUACGGGAGGCAGCAGUAGGGAAUCUUCCGCAAUGGGCGAAAGCCUGACGGAGCAACGCCGCGUGAGUGAUGAAGGUCUUCGGAUCGUAAAACUCUGUUAUUAGGGAAGAACAUAUGUGUAAGUAACUGUGCACAUCUUGACGGUACCUAAUCAGAAAGCCACGGCUAACUACGUGCCAGCAGCCGCGGUAAUACGUAGGUGGCAAGCGUUAUCCGGAAUUAUUGGGCGUAAAGCGCGCAUAUGCGGUUUUUUAAGUCUGAUGUGAAAGCCCACGGCUCAACCGUGGAGGGUCAUUGGAAACUGGAAAACUUGAGUGCAGAAGAGGAAAGUGGAAUUCCAUGUGUAGCGGUGAAAUGCGCAGAGAUAUGGAGGAACACCAGUGGCGAAGGCGACUUUCUGGUCUGUAACUGACGCUGAUGUGCGAAAGCGUGGGGAUCAAACAGGAUUAGAUACCCUGGUAGUCCACGCCGUAAACGAUGAGUGCUAAGUGUUAGGGGGUUUCCGCCCCUUAGUGCUGCAGCUAACGCAUUAAGCACUCCGCCUGGGGAGUACGACCGCAAGGUUGAAACUCAAAGGAAUUGACGGGGACCCGCACAAGCGGUGGAGCAUGUGGUUUAAUUCGAAGCAACGCGAAGAACCUUACCAAAUCUUGACAUCCUUUGACAACUCUAGAGAUAGAGCCUUCCCCUUCGGGGGACAAAGUGACAGGUGGUGCAUGGUUGUCGUCAGCUCGUGUCGUGAGAUGUUGGGUUAAGUCCCGCAACGAGCGCAACCCUUAAGCUUAGUUGCCAUCAUUAAGUUGGGCACUCUAAGUUGACUGCCGGUGACAAACCGGAGGAAGGUGGGGAUGACGUCAAAUCAUCAUGCCCCUUAUGAUUUGGGCUACACACGUGCUACAAUGGACAAUACAAAGGGCAGCGAAACCGCGAGGUCAAGCAAAUCCCAUAAAGUUGUUCUCAGUUCGGAUUGUAGUCUGCAACUCGACUACAUGAAGCUGGAAUCGCUAGUAAUCGUAGAUCAGCAUGCUACGGUGAAUACGUUCCCGGGUCU